GAUGAACGCUGGCGGCGUGCCUAAUACAUGCAAGUCGAGCGAACAGAUGAGGGGCUUGCUCCUCUGACGUUAGCGGCGGACGGGUGAGUAACACGUGGAUAACCUACCUAUAAGACUGGGAUAACUUCGGGAAACCGUAGCUAAUACCGGGUAAUAUAUUGAACCGCAUGGUUCAAUAGUGAAAGACGGUGUUGAUGUCACUUAUAGAUGGAUCCGCGCCGCAUUAGCUAGUUGGUAAGGUAACGGCUUACCAAGGCGACGAUGCGUAGCCGACCUGAGAGGCUGACCCGCCACGCCGGACUUGCGACACGGUGCAGACUCCUACGGGAGCAAGCAGUAGGGAAUCUUCCGCAAUGGGCGAAAGCCUAACGGAGCACCCCCGCGUGAGUCAUGACGGUCCUCGGAUCGUAAACCUCUCUUAUUAGGGAAGAACAAAUGUGUCCGUAACUAUGCACCUCUUGACGGUACCUAAGCAGAAAGCCACGGCUAACUACGUG
rnacentral:rRNA from 1 species